rnacentral:sRNA from 1 species
UUUUAGCCCUGGAUUGCAGCGACAUCCUUUUUUGUUUAAAACAAAAAAGAUACAGCGGAAAGCAGGUAAAAUA